rnacentral:misc_RNA from 1 species
AAAAAAAAACCGUCACGUGCACGUUGUGUGUUGUCCGUUGUGUGUAUUUAUUAUUACACACGCGUUCACACACAUGUUAUGUGUGCAUGUGUUCGGGAAAUAAAAACAAAGAGCCCUUGGGGAUUACGGAUGAAACACGCACCACACAAGCACGUGCACGCUCGUAUAUAUUUAUAUAUAUGUUCGGUUUCGUUGUUUGUAUAUAUAUAUACAUAUGUAUUGAUAUAUAUGUAUAUUGUGUGUAUAUGUGUAUGAUCCGCUCCGGCGUUCGCUUCUCUCCUUUUCCUUCUCGUUGCUUUUUCCUACUCUAUCUAUUUACUUUUUUCAAUUUUCGCUUCCCCUUUUCUUACCUUGCUUCGCUACACACAGCAUUCAUUUAUCUUCCUCCUCUUACACAUUCCUCUCUCGCCUUGUGACCCUGCGGUGCGUGCACUGUUGGG